rnacentral:rRNA from 1 species
ACUCCUACGGGAGGCAGCAGUAGGGAAUCUUCCACAAUGGGCGCAAGCCUGAUGGAGCAACACCGCGUGAGUGAAGAAGGGUUUCGGCUCGUAAAGCUCUGUUGUUAAAGAAGAACACGUAUGAGAGUAACUGUUCAUACGUUGACGGUAUUUAACCAGAAAGUCACGGCUAACUACGUGCCAGCAGCCGCGGUAAUACGUGGGGUGGCAAGCGUUAUCCGGAUUUAUUGGGCGUAAAGAGAGUGCAGGCGGUUUUCUAAGUCUGAUGUGAAAGCCUUCGGCUUAACCGGAGAAGUGCAUCGGAAACUGGAUAACUUGAGUGCAGAAGAGGGUAGUGGAACUCCAUGUGUAGCGGUGGAAUGCGUAGAUAUAUGGAAGAACACCAGUGGCGAAGGCGGCUACCUGGUCUGCAACUGACGCUGAGACUCGAAAGCAUGGGUAGCGAACAGGAUUAGAUACCCUGGUAGGAUAGCG